UGGGGAAUUUUCCGCAAUGGGCGCAAGCCUGACGGAGCAAUACCGCGUGAGGGAGGAAGGCUUUUGGGUUGUAAACCUCUUUUCUCAAGGAAGAAGUCCUGACGGUACUUGAGGAAUCAGCAUCGGCUAACUCCGUGCCAGCAGCCGCGGUAAUACGGAGGAUGCAAGCGUUAUUCGGAAUUAUUGGGCGUAAAGCGUCCGCAGGUGGUGCCUCAAGUCUGCUGUCAAAGACCGAAGCUCAACUUCGGGCAGGCAGUGGAAACUGAAGCACUAGAGUACGGUAGGGGUAGAGGGAAUUCCUGGUGUAGCGGUGAAAUGCGUAGAUAUCAGGAAGAACACCGGUGGCGAAAGCGCUCUACUAGGCCGUAACUGACACUGAGAGACGAAAGCUAAGGGAGCGAAUGGGAUUAGAUACCCCGGUAGUCC
rnacentral:rRNA from 1 species